UACGUAGGGGGCAAGCGUUGUCCGGAUUUAUUGGGCGUAAAGGGUGCGUAGGCGGCGCGGUAAGUCGGGUGUGAAAUCUCGGAGCUUAACUCCGAAACUGCAUUCGAUACUGCCGUGCUUGAGGACUGGAGAGGAGACUGGAAUUUACGGUGUAGCGGUGAAAUGCGUAGAUAUCGUAAGGAAGACCAGUGGCGAAGGCGGGUCUCUGGACAGUUCCUGACGCUGAGGCACGAAGGCCAGGGGAGCAAACGGG
rnacentral:rRNA from 1 species